rnacentral:rRNA from 1 species
UACGUAGGGGGCAAGCGUUGUCCGGAAUUAUUGGGCGUAAAGGGCGCGUAGGCGGACAUUUAAGUCCGGUGUGAAAGAUCAGGGCUCAACCCUGAGAGUGCAUCGGAAACUGGAUGUCUUGAGGACAGGAGAGGAAAGUGGAAUUCCUAGUGUAGCGGUGAAAUGCGUAGAUAUUAGGAGGAACACCAGUGGCGAAGGCGACUUUCUGGACUGUAACUGACGCUGAGGCGCGAAAGCGUGGGGAGCAAAC